GAUGAACGCUGGCGGCGUGCUUAACACAUGCAAGUCGAACGGAAAGGCCCUGAUUUUGUUGGGUGCUCGUGUGGCGCACGGGUGAGUAAAACGCGUGUAACCUGUCCUUGUCUUUGGGAUAACUUCAGGAAACUGGGGCUAAUAUAGGAGAGGAGCUCCUGCUGCAUGGUGGUGGUUGGUAAGUUUCGGCGGUUGUGGAUGGACUCGCGGGUUAUCCGCUUGUUGGUGGGGUAGUGGCUUAACAAGUUUUUGACGGGUAGGCGGCCUGAGCGGGGGGCCGGCCACCAUGGUCCUAAGAUAGGGCCCAGACUGCAACGGGCGGCAACAGUGGGGAAUAUUGCGCAAUGGGCUCACGCCAGUUGCGACGACCCCGCGUGCGGGAAGACGGCCUUUGGGUUGUAAACCGCUUUCGCCUGAGCCGAAGCGGGAGUGACGGUAAUGGGUAAAGAAGCACCGGCUAACUACGUG
rnacentral:rRNA from 1 species